UAAAAUGCCUCCCACGCACCCUUCUAAUGAAAUAUAUGAAAUAUUUACAUACAUUGUUUUAUACUUUUAUAUAUUUAUACAUUUUUCUGAAUAAAUAAAUUAAAUUUACUAAAUUUUAAUUUUGUUUUUGUAUAUUUUAAUUUUUAAUAAGUAUAUAUUAAAGAAAAACAGUAUUACUUUAGUUUCCUUUUCGUUUUUUGUAAUCAUAAUAUUAUAUAUUUGUAUUCCCACAGCAGUCCAGUAGAAUGGGACUUAUCCCGAAGGAUCUUAAUCGAGCAUAGACAUAUGUGCUUAUGAAUUCAACACUAUGAAUUUUCCCAUUAAAUGAGAGCACAUUUGUAACUCAAUAACGCUGUUUAUAUUUACACCACGUUUUUGAUAGAUCGGCUAAUUUAUUCUUAAACCGAUAUGCAACCUAUAAGUCAUACUCAGUUUUCUUUCUAUGCCUAAACAAAUUACUUAGUACGAGUAUAACCUUUCAUCCUUCUCAGCUAAAAAGGAAGGAAAUAACGAGAUCACUAGUAUAAGAUAUCGUAUAAAAGUGUGUACUAAUUUUUAAUCUGCUCACUUGUAACAUUUUACUUUAAAAGUUAAAAAACAGUUUCAAUUAAAGUGGGAAAGUGGGUGCACAGUUCUCUCUGUCGUUAUGUCUUUCCCCAGGUUACCAUAAGGCUUUUGUUAGGUUUUAUUACGUUGUUACCAAGUGCAUUAAUUCAAAUUUUCACUAUGUGCUAUUUUUUAUUUUUUGUUGAUGCCGUGCUUGAAUUUGUUUUGCUGAGAAUUUGCGUAAUUUCCUCGGUAAUUGUUUAUGUUGGACUUUUAAUGAAGUCAGUACUUUCUUGCAACCUUUUAGUUAUUUGCUGUGUAGUUUCCGUUCUCUUUUCAAAUUGUAUAACGCUUUUUCGCUAACCUUCCGUUGGUUGGUAAGUAGUCAGGCAAUAUUUAAGAUAAGGUUUUAUGGAUAAUACGAAAGAUUUUCAUUUUUAUAUUGCUUUACAUAUCAAAUUCAGUGAAAAUAACUGAUCUGCAUUUAACCUGUUCAGCAAACACUUCUUUCAUAUUUGUUUUCAAUGACUUUAUGUUCCAUUUUAUAUUCAGUUGAACUGCAAUACUUAAACUAUUUCUUAUUAUAAUAAAAGUGAGCACCGAAGUUAUAAUAUAUUAUAGCAUAAAAAGAUAUUAAAUGAUCUCUAUCUACAUUUUGAACGGCCAGUUUGUAUUGUAACUGUCUGACAGCUGGUUUUAUUAAAGAAAAGGAGGCACCGAGCCUAGCCAGUGCUUAGGUGACACUCGCGCCGUGAUGUUAUGUGAUUUGAAAAUCACACGGUAAAUUCGCGAGAAGCCGGCUGCCAGUUGGCUAUAUAAGUAAAGCAGGCAGCGUCUCUGGCCAGUGCUUAGGUGACUGUCGCGCCGUGAUGUUAUGUUAUUAGAAUGUCACGCGGUAAAUUCGCGGGAAGCUGGCUGCCAGUUGGCUAUAUAAGUAAAGCAGGCAGCGUCCCUGGCCAGCGCCGUGAUGUUAUGUUAUUAGAAUGCCACGCGGUAAAUUUGCGGGAAGCUGGCUGCCAGUUGGCUAUAUAAGUAAAGCAGGCAGCGUCGCUGGCCAGUGCGUAGGUGACUGUCGCGCCGUGAUGUUAUGUGAUAUGAAAAUCACGCGAUAAAUUUGCGAGAAACCGGCUGCCAGUUGGCUAUAUAAGUAAAGCAGGCAGCGUCGCUGGCCAGUGCGUAGGUGACUGUCGCGCCGUGAUGUUAUAUGAUAUGAAAAUCACGCGAUAAAUUCGCGAGAAACCGGCUGCCAGUUGGCUAUAUAAGUAAAGCAGGCAGCGUCGCUGGCCAGUGCGUAGGUGACUGUCGCGCCGUGAUGUUAUAUGAUAUGAAAAUCACGCGAUAAAUUCGCAGGAAGUUGGCUGCCAGUCGGCUAUAUAAGAAAAGCAGACAGCGUGCCUGCCCAGUGCUUAGGUGACUGUCGCGCCGUGAUGUUAUAUGAUAUGAAAAUCACGCGAUAAAUUCGCGAGAAACCGGCUGCCAUUUGGCUAUAUAAGUAAAGCAGGCAGCGUCUCUGGCCAGUGCUUAGGUGACUGUCGCGCCGUGAUGUUAUGUUAUUAGAAUGUCACGCGGUAAAUUCGCGGGAAGCUGGCUGCCAGUUGGCUAUAUAAGUAAAGCAGGCAGCGUCCCUGGCCAGUGCUUAGGUGACUGUCGCGCCGUGAUGUUAUAUGAUAUGAAAAUCACGCGAUAAAUUCGCGAGAAACCGGCUGCCAUUUGGCUAUAUAAGUAAAGCAGGCAGCGUCCCUGGCCAGCGCCGUGAUGUUAUGUUAUUAGAAUGCCACGCGGUAAAUUUGCGGGAAGCUGGCUGCCAGUCGGCUAUAUAAGAAAAACAGACAGCGUGCCUGCCCAGUGCUUAGGUGACUGUCGCGCCGUGAUGUUAUAUGAUAUGAAAAUCACGCGAUAAAUUCGCGAGAAACCGGCUGCCAUUUGGCUAUAUAAGUAAAGCAGGCAGCGUCUCUGGCCAGUGCUUAGGUGACUGUCGCGCCGUGAUGUUAUGUUAUUAGAAUGUCACACGGUAAAUUCGCAGGAAGUUGGCUGCCAGUCGGCUAUAUAAGAAAAGCAGACAGCGUCGCUGACCAGUGUUUAGGUGACUGUCGCGCCGUGAUGUUAUGUGAUUAGAAAGUCGCGCGGUAAAUUUGCGAGAAACUGGCUGACAGUUGGCUAGGCCAGAGGCUGAUCAUUGCUCAGGUGAUUCUCGCGGCAAACUAAAUAAACCCUGUUUAUCAAGAUCAAAUUGUCUGUCUUCGCGUCUUUUUAUAUUUAAUGCGAAUGCCAAGCGAAUUUAAAUUAGAAGCGUUACUUUCUGAUUCCAUCGUAAUAUGUAUUUUAGUAUUAUAAUCUACAUAUAUAGAAUUGGAUUAAAGAAUUUAUUGAUUUUUUCAAUAUUUUAUUACUUUUUUUGUUCAAGCUUUGGUUUCACAUAAAAUUCACGUGAAGUGAAUCAGAGAAAUUCUAUAUUUGCUAUUGGUGGCAAAAUUUUAAUU